GACGAACGCUGGCGGCGUGCCUAAUACAUGCAAGUUGAGCGCUGAAGGUUGGUCCUUGUACCAACUGGAUGAGCAGCGCACGGGUGAGUAACGCGUGGGGAAUCUGCCUUUGAGCGGGGGACAACAUUUGGAAACGAAUGCUAAUACCGCAUAAAAACUUUAAACACAAGUUUUAAGUUUGAAAGAUGCAAUUGCAUCACUCAAAGAUGAUCCCGCGUUGUAUUAGCUAGUUGGUGAGGUAAAGGCUCACCAAGGCGAUGAUACAUAGCCGACCUGAGAGGGGGAUCGGCCACAGUGGGACUGAGACACGGCCCAAACUCCUACGGGAGGCAGCAGUAGGGAAUCUUCGGCAAUGGACGAAAGUCUGACCGAGCAACGCCGCGUGAGUGAAGAAGGUUGUCGGAUCGUAAAACUCUGUUGGUAGAGAAGAACGUUGGUGAGAGUGGAAAGCUCAUCAAGUGACGGUAACUACACAGAAAGGGACGGCUAACUACGUG
rnacentral:rRNA from 1 species